GUCUACUGCCAUACCACCCUUAACGCGCCCCAUCCCGUCUGAUCUUGGAAGCUAAGCACGAUCGGGCCUGCUUAGUACUUGGAUGGGAGACUGCCUGGGAAUAGUGGUUGCUGUAGGCU
ensembl:rRNA 5S_rRNA 5S ribosomal RNA